rnacentral:rRNA from 1 species
GACGAACGCUGGCGGCGUGCUUAAUACAUGCAAUUCGAACGGGCGGACCUAGCAGUUUUACUUCGGUCUUGUCUUUAUCAAAUUGAGCGCCGGAUGGUUGCGUACCCUGUGCUGUACCUGCACUUUAGUCUGCUAUACCUCUUGCCAGCUGGUACUACUACCUGCUAAGCAAGCAGAUCGCAUGAUCAGCUGUUAUGAAUCGGCUUACGCUUUCUCUGUUUGAUGGUCCGGGAGUGCAUUAGCUAGUUGUUAAGGUAUAGGCUUACCAAGGCGAUGAUGCAUAGCCGAGUGGAGAGACUGAUCGGCCGAAUUGGGACUGAGACACGGCCCAAACGCCUAAGGGAAGCAGCAGUAGGGAAUCUUCCACAAGGGGCGCAAGUCUGAUAGAGCAACGCCGCGUGAGUGAAGAAGGUGUGCGGAUCGUAAAGCACUGUUGGUGGUGAAGAAGGAUAGAGGUAGGAACUGGCCUUUAGUUGACGGUAAUCAAACAGAAAGAAACGGCUAACUACGUG